GCUUGCAGGGGUGCCUGGGUCGGGGGCUGCAGGUGGGAGUGAGCAAAUGUGCUGUCUCGCCACCUCGGGACAGGUGGUAGGGCCUCUGACACAGAGUGGUCCUUCCUGCUGUUCACAGCUCAGCUCACCGUGGGCUGACCAUAGAUUCUCGUUGAAAUCCUAACGCCCCAGGCAAUGAUGUUAGGAGGCGGGGCUUCUGGGAGAUGGCAAGUUCGUGAGGCUGCAGCUCUGCUGGGGGAUCAGUGUCCUUCUACAAGCGGCUCCAGGGAGGUCCCUUGCCCCUUCCACCAUGUGAGGACCCGAGAUGGUGCCGUCUAUGAACCGGGAAGUGAGUCCUCUCCGGACGUGGAACAAGUUGGUGCCUUGAUUUUGAACUUGCAGCCUCCAGCUUCAUGGGGUUUAAGUACGAUGAUGCUGCAUUGAGACGUUGUACUGUGUGAAGUCAGGGCCUUCUGUGCAUCGGUCGAGGGUGCAAUGCACACGGCACCCCCGAGCAGCCACCCAUCCUCCCUUCCCUCCACCCUGCGAGGCCCCGUUGUCCGUCUGUCCACACUCUGCUCCAUGAGCACACGUGACUUAGCUUCGCCUUGUGAGCCGCUGCUUGGGGUGAGCAUGCUUCCUGCUGGAUGCUUCUCUAUGUAAGCACCUGCCUGAGUGUCAGCCCUCUUAAGGUGAACCGCUCCGUGUCAUUCGUACAUUCACAAGUUUGUGCCGCCAUCAUCGUGAUCGGAUUCCAAAACAUUUUCAUCACCUCCAAGAAAGCCUUGUACCUGGCAGCAGUCACUGUCUCUAUGGAUUUGCUUAUUCUGGACAUUUCAUAAAAAUAGAAUCAAACAGCA